rnacentral:rRNA from 1 species
CGAACGCUGGCGGCAGGCCUAAUACAUGCAAGUCGAACGGCUCUUCGGAGCAGUGGCGGACGGGUGAGUAACGCGUGGGAAUGUGCCCUUUGGUACGGAACAACACAGGGAAACUUGUGCUAAUACCGUAUGUGCCCUUCGGGGGAAAGAUUUAUCGCCAUUGGAGCAGCCCGCGUUGGAUUAGGUAGUUGGUGAGGUAAAGGCUCACCAAGCCGACGAUCCAUAGCUGGUCUGAGAGGAUGAUCAGCCACACUGGGACUGAGACACGGCCCAGACUCCUACGGGAGGCAGCAGUAGGGAAUCUUGCGCAAUGGGCGAAAGCCUGACGCAGCCAUGCCGCGUGUAUGAUGAAGGUCUUAGGAUUGUAAAAUACUUUCACCGGGGAAGAUAAUGACGGUACCCGGAGAAGAAGCCCCGGCUAACUUCGUGCCAGCCGCCGCAGUAA